GGGUUGUGAGGUUAAGCGACUAAGCGUACACGGUGGAUGCCCUGGCAGUCAGAGGCGAUGAAGGGCGUGCUAAUCUGCGAUAAGCGCCGGUAAGGUGAUAUGAACCGUUAUAACCGGCGAUACCCGAAUGGGGAAACCCAGUGUGACUCGUCACACUAUCAUUAACUGAAUCCAUAGGUUAAUGAGGCGAACCGGGGGAACUGAAACAUCUAAGUACCCCGAGGAAAAGAAAUCAACCGAGAUUCCCCCAGUAGCGGCGAGCGAACGGGGAGGAGCCCAGAGCCUGAAUCAGCAUGUGUGUUAGUGGAAGCGUCUGGAAAGGCGCGCGAUACAGGGUGACAGCCCCGUACACAAAAGCGCAUGUGCUGUGAGCUCGAAGAGUAGGGCGGGACACGUGGUAUCCUGUCUGAAUAUGGGGGGACCAUCCUCCAAGGCUAAAUACUCCUGACUGACCGAUAGUGAACCAGUACCGUGAGGGAAAGGCGAAAAGAACCCCGGCGAGGGGAGUGAAAAAGAACCUGAAACCGUGUACGUACAAGCAGUGGGAGCCCCACCACUAAGCCAGUGGUGAACUCCACAUACGCAUCCUUUGCUGAGGAUACGGUUAACGGAGCGAAAGCGACGUUCAACCGCAAAAGAAGCAGAGGGGGCUUAGUGGUGGGGUGACUGCGUACCUUUUGUAUAAUGGGUCAGCGACUUAUAUUCUGUAGCAAGGUUAACCGUAUAGGGGAGCCG
rnacentral:rRNA from 1 species